rnacentral:rRNA from 1 species
UACGGAGGGUGCAAGCGUUAUCCGGAUUCACUGGGUUUAAAGGGUGCGUAGGUGGGCUGGUAAGUCAGUGGUGAAAUCUCCGAGCUUAACUUGGAAACUGCCAUUGAUACUAUCAGUCUUGAAUAUUGUGGAGGUCAGCGGAAUAUGUCAUGUAGCGGUGAAAUGCUUAGAGAUGACAUAGAACACCAAUUGCGAAGGCAGCUGACUACGCAUAUAUUGACACUGAGGCACGAAAGCGUGGGGAUCAAACAGG